rnacentral:rRNA from 1 species
AUUGAACGCUGGCGGCAUGCUUUACACAUGCAAGUCGGACGGCAGCACAGAGAAGCUUGCUUCUUGGGUGGCGAGUGGCGAACGGGUGAGUAACAUAUCGGAACGUACCGAGCAGUGGGGGAUAACUAAUCGAAAGAUUAGCUAAUACCGCAUAUUUUCUGAGGAAGAAAGCAGGGGACCUUUGGGCCUUGCGCUGUUUGAGCGGCCGAUAUCUGAUUAGCUAGUUGGUGGGGUAAAGGCCUACCAAGGCGACGAUCAGUAGCGGGUCUGAGAGGAUGAUCGGCCACACUGGGACUGAGACACGGCCCAGACUCCUACGGGAGGCAGCAGUGGGGAAUUUUGGACAAUGGGCGCAAGCCUGAUCCAGCCAUGCCGCGUGUCUGAAGAAGGCCUUCGGGUUGUAAAGGACUUUUGUCAGGGAAGAAAAGGGCGGGGUUAAUACCCCUGUCUGAUGACGGUACCUGAAGAAUAAGCACCGGCUAACUACGUG